GACGUAGGGGGGCGAGCGUUGUCCGGAUUCAUUGGGCGUAAAGCGCGCGUAGGCGGCUCGGAAAGUCGGUCGUGAAAUGCCGGGGGCUCAACCCCGGACUUGCAGUGGGUACGGGCAGACUAGAGUGUGGUAGGGGAGACUGGAAUUCCUGGUGUAGCGGUGAAAUGCGCAGAUAUCAGGAGGAACACCGGUGGCGAAGGCGGGUCUCUGGGCCGUAACUGACGCU
rnacentral:rRNA from 1 species